GGCAAGGUACAUUGAAGGGUCUAUCCAGGAGGACAACCUCGUGAAUGAAGCAGUCGGGUAUGCCAUGGAGUACAUGGAAAAACCACGUGAUGCCAAUCACCAAGUCAGUUGAGUAUACUAAUAUGAGUACAGGUGAAAACUCUACCAAAGCAGCUGGUCUUCUACCAAAGCCAGCUUCUGAUCCUCAAGCUGGGAUGAAGUCAUCCUCGAGUGGACCUUCUGAAGUGUUGACAUAUUUUCCCCUUGGGCCUAGGGUCGAGAGGUUACAUAUUGUACCUGUGGAUCUCAGCAAUACAGCGCUCAUAGUGUACCAGAACUUACCCAGCAGAUGUGGGAUUCAAAGAACAUGAUGUGUGCUGCUGAUCCUAGACAUGGACGAUGCUUGACCGAAAACUAUCAGAAUACAAGUGAAGAGAAAGUCCUAAGUAUGGAAACAAAAUAUCAGAAUGGGGACUCGAUUUUCUUCUACUUGAUGUGCCUGCCGAUCUAUCUAUCUUUUGAAGAAGAUAAGUUUCCUCUUCACACUCAACUUUUAAGUUUCAUAUCAUUUCUUUACUUUAGAUUUUCUCUUCAAUGUUGUGAAUUUGGUGGAACCAAAGUUUAAUUUUGAAUUUCCUGUUUUAUAAUUCGUGUAAUAUUUUGGAGUGAUUCGGGUGGAUUAUUGUGUGUAUCUGUCUUGUUUGUUUGCGGAAUCUUUGUUGUUUGUUGUGGUGACUUGCGUGCUAAAGCCGCCUGAAGAUGGCAAUGUUAACUUCUCAUUGUCCUUCACUCUUCAGGUUUGUAUUUUUUUUUAAUCAACCUCAGAAGAUUUGAGGGAGAAAUAGUACGCGAGAGAAGGCGGAGACUAUUAUAUGAGUUUUGCAUCUUUUAGUUUUAACUUAUAUGCAUUCAUUAAGUUCUAAACAGAUACCGUAUGAGCUUUAAGCCACAUAUAACUUAGAAAUUCUCUUUAAGUUACCACUUGACCUUAUUCAAUAUAUGAUUUCCAUCCUUGCACAGGAUUUGAAGAGCCGGAAAAUGAAGAUGGAGGCAGAAAAGAGACUUAAAUAUUGUAAAUAUUUGUUACAAACUCUUUUACCAGUCUUAAAUCAAAUCCGAGAAGAGCAAGCAAUGGAAAAGGAGCCCGAGGCGAAGAUUCAAGGUUCAGGGAGCGCUGUCAAACCCCAUUGGAGCAGCUGCUGAAUUUAAUGAGGGUGAAUUGUAAUCUGAACUCGAGGAGUUGGAGAAUCAACUUUUACAACCUGCAACCCAAAGUCAGGUUCAAAUCAAGAGAAUUUCCCUACUACUAGCUUCUUUGGGUGUUAAAUUGGAACGCCUUUGUCGUGAGAAGAAUCAUCUCCUAAUUUUCAUUCGAGGCCUUCACUUUCAUGUUCUCUUACGACUUUCAUCGGGUGUUUUUAUAUCUUCAUCUAGUUAACCAUCUAAAAUAGUGGAAUUGAUCCUGAUGCAUUCAUGGGAGGACAAAAGGGCUUAUACCCCUGAAAUCAUAUUCAAGCAAGAGGUUCUACCAUUAAAUGGCAUCCAUUAGGUCCCUUUGCAGCUGCAAGUGUUUGAGUAAGUUCUUGCUUAUAGUGAUUUAGAGAAUGAACUGAACUUGGGAACUUAGUAGGUUUCUAUGACUUUCCUCAGAAUUUGAUACUUAACAAUAACGAA